UACGGAGGAUGCAAGCGUUAUCCGGAUUGAUUGGGCGUAAAGCGUCUGUAGGUGGUUACGCUAGUCGGCUGUUAAAGAUCAGGGCUGAACCCUGAGCAAGCAGUCGAAACUGCGUGGCUGGAGUACGGUAGGGGCAGAGGGAAUUCCCGGUGUGGCGGUGAAAUGCGUAGAUAUCGGGAGGAACACCUGUGGCGAAAGCGGCUCACUGGACCACAACUGACGCUGAGGCGCGAAAGCUAGGGGAGCAAACAGG
rnacentral:rRNA from 1 species